UAGGGAAUCUUCCGCAAUGGGCGAAAGCCUGACGGAGCAACGCCGCGUGAGUGAUGAAGGUCUUCGGAUCGUAAAACUCUGUUAUUAGGGAAGAACAAAUGUGUAAGUAACUAUGCACGUCUUGACGGUACCUAAUCAGAAAGCCACGGCUAACUACGUGCCAGCAGCCGCGGUAAUACGUAGGUGGCAAGCGUUAUCCGGAAUUAUUGGGCGUAAAGCGCGCGUAGGCGGUUUUUUAAGUCUGAUGUGAAAGCCCACGGCUCAACCGUGGAGGGUCAUUGGAAACUGGAAAACUUGAGUGCAGAAGAGGAAAGUGGAAUUCCAUGUGUAGCGGUGAAAUGCGCAGAGAUAUGGAGGAACACCAGUGUCGAAGGCGACUUUCUGGUCUGUAACUGACGCUGAUGUGCGAAAGCGUGGGGAUCAAACAGG
rnacentral:rRNA from 1 species